rnacentral:rRNA from 1 species
GACGAACGCUGGCGGCGUGCCUAAUACAUGCAAGUAGAACGCUGAAGGAGGAGCUUGCUUCUCUGGAUGAGUUGCGAACGGGUGAGUAACGCGUAGGUAACCUGCCUGGUAGCGGGGGAUAACUAUUGGAAACGAUAGCUAAUACCGCAUAAGAGUAGAUGUUGCAUGACAUUUGCUUAAAAGGUGCAAUUGCAUCACUACCAGAUGGACCUGGGUUGUAUUAGCUAGUUGGUGGGGUAACGGCUUACCAAGGCGACGAUACAUAGCCGACCUGAGAGGGUGAUCGGCCACACUGGGACUGAGACACGGCCCAGACUCCUACGGGAGGCAGCAGUAGGGAAUCUUCGGCAAUGGACGGAAGUCUGACCGAGCAACGCCGCGUGAGUGAAGAAGGUUUUCGGAUCGUAAAGCUCUGUUAUAAGAGAAGAACGAGUGUGAGAGUGGAAAGUUCACACUGUGACGGUAUCUUACCAGAAAGGGACGGCUAACUACGUG